UUUGGGGCUAAUUUUUAACCAUUACCUCUUCUCCCUACACAGGUGCACAAAAAGGCCUGUAAAUGUGUCUAGAUAGUACAGGAUUAUUUGAUACACAGAAGUCCAUUUUCCCAGGCUGCCAUUAUUGUCAAGUUUCAAAACUUAACUUACAAAAAAUCAAGUGUUGUUCAACCAAGUACCUAGAUUCAAAUCAAACAGAAAAAAAAAAAAAAGAAAAUACCUAGAGGAAAACUAUAGGCAUUAUUGUAAUUGGCUCAAAGAUGAAGAUUCUAACCAUGGGAGUAGCCUCUCCUAGAACUUAAAAAAUAUAGAUUGUGUUCUACUCCACAUGUGUUUCCAUUUGUGAGCAUGAGUUGUUAAGUAGAAUUUCAUGACUACCUGUAAGGACAAUUGCAUGUACAGUACCUGUCAGCCCAAAUACAUUAGUCAUUUCAAAACCCACAUUAAUUACUUAGGAAAGGGGAGGAGGGGAACCUCCUGAUCAUUCUAUUAACUUCCAUUUCUCUCUUAUAAGUGCUUUGAAAUGUGUGACGAACAAAAUUUUACCACCUAUGUAGUAGCAACACUGAGCAACAGGUCAAAAAUAAGUGAUCUGGGAUGGAUCACUGGAGGGCACAGAAUUAGUAGCCUUUUAGUAGUAA
rnacentral:lncRNA from 1 species